rnacentral:rRNA from 1 species
AGCACGGGGUGGAGGCUCCUCCUUAGGCUUCCGGCCGAAGCGAAAGUUUAAACUACUCCGCCUGGGGAGUAUGGUCGCAAGGCUGGAACUCAAAAGAAUUGAGGGGGGCUCACACAAGCGGUGGAGGAUGUGGAUUAAUUCGAGGCUACGCGUAGAACCUUAUCCUGGUCUUGACAUGGUCGGAUUAACUCCGGGAAACCGGAGCCACGCCCUUUGGGUGGAACGAUCACAGGUGCUGCAUGGCUGUCGUCAGCUCGUGUCGUGAGAUGUCGGGUUAAGUCCCUUAACGAGCGAAACCCUUAUCUUUAGUUGCCAGCGGAUCAUGCCGGGGACUCUAGGGAGACUGCCGGUGUUAAACCGGAGGAAGGUGGGGAUGACGUCAAGUCCUCAUGGCCUUUAUGACCAGGGCUGCACACGUCCUACAAUGGCGCGCACAAAGGGAAGCGAACUCGCGAGAGCAAGCAAAUCCCAAAAAACGCGCCCCAGUUCGGAUUGCAGGCUGCAACUCGCCUGCAUGAAGCCGGAAUCGCUAGUAAUCGCGGGUCAGCAUACCGCGGUGAAUAUGUUCCUGAGCCUUGUACACACCGCCCGUCAAGCCACGAAAGUGGGGGGUAUCCGAAGUCGCCCAGCUAACCCUCGGGAAGCAGGCGCCGAAGAUAAACUCCGCGAUUGGGACUAAGUCGUAACAAGGUAACCGUA